rnacentral:rRNA from 1 species
GAUGAACGCUGGCGGCGUGCCUAAUACAUGCAAGUCGAGCGAACAGACGAGGAGCUUACUCCUCUGACGUUAGCGGCGGACGGGUGAGUAACACGUGGAUAACCUACCUAUAAGACUGGGAUAACUUCGGGAAACCGGAGCUAAUACCGGAUAACAUGUUGAACCGCAUGGUUCAACAGUGAAAGACGGUCUUGCUGUCACUUAUAGAUGGAUCCGCGUCGCAUUAGCUAGUUGGUAAGUUAACGGCUUACCAAGGCAACGCUGCGUAGCCGACCUGAGAGGGUGAUCGGCCACACUGGAACGGAGACACGGUCCAGACUCCUACGGGAGGCAGCAGUAGGGAAUCUUCCGCAAAGGGCGAAAGCCUGACGGAGCAACGCCGCGUGAGUGAAGAAGGUCUUCGGAUCGGAAAACUCUGUUAUUAGGGAAGAACAAAUGUGUAAGUAACUAUGCACGUCUUGACGGUACCUAAUCAGAAAGCCACGGCUAACUACGUG